GGAGAGAUGGCUCAAUGGUUAAGAGCACUGACUGUUCUUCCAGACGUCCUGAGUUCAAUUCCCAGCAACCACA
rnacentral:tRNA from 1 species